rnacentral:lncRNA from 1 species
GUAAAUCUCCUAAUGGUGAGGAUUAUGAAUUGGCCAUUGCUUCCUGUUUCUUAUUUUGUUCCAUGUUUUUUAUGAACCUUAGAAGCAGAGAGAGGAGAGAGAGAAAGGGUUAAUUUUAGGGGUAAUGUGAUAUUUAUUCUUUAGUAAAUUGUGUAGAAGAUUGCUAAAUUAGGAGUUAAUAGGAUCAAAAUUGUCAAUUAUCUCAUAUUCUCUCAUAUUGUUUUGUGACGGACCAUAGGCUAAAAUUGUUUUGUGGCAAAGCGAUUUCCCACAGAUAAUAUCUGAAGUUUUUUGUCGGCUAUAAUUAGGUACCAGAGGUUUCAACAAAUUCGAGAAGCUGUGUUUAUUCCUGCGUUAUUUACUUAUUGGGCCUUCUGAAUAGGAGCCCAAAUCGAGGCAGUCAAGGCUCAAAUCCAAUGUCUAUCAUUAAGAACGUGGUACGUCGGUCUGGCUAAUGUCUCUCUCUCUCUGAGCGUUGUUCUCUCUCUCUCUCUCUCUCUCUUUAUGGCUGUAUACUAAAUUCGUAUUAUGCUUUGUAUAUUACUAUUAUUAUAAUUCUUCAUUGAAAACUAAAGUAUCAAAAUGGACCA